rnacentral:rRNA from 1 species
AUUGCCCUAGUAACGGCGAGUGAAGCGGCAACAGCUCAAAUUUGAAAUCUGGCCUUCUUUGGGGGUCCGAGUUGUAAUUUGCAGAGGGUGCUUUGGCGUCGGCAGCGGUCUAAGUUCCUUGGAACAGGACAUCACAGAGGGUGAGAAUCCCGUACGUGGUCGCCUGCCUUCGCCGUGUAAAGCCCCUUCGACGAGUCGAGUUGUUUGGGAAUGCAGCUCUAAAUGGGAGGUAAAUUUCUUCUAAAGCUAAAUACUGGCCAGAGACCGAUAGCGCACAAGUAGAGUGAUCGAAAGAUGAAAAGCACUUUGGAAAGAGAGUCAAACAGCACGUGAAAUUGUUGAAAGGGAAGCGCUUGCAGCCAGACUUGCUCGCAGUUGCUCAUCUGGGUCCGCCCAGAGCACUCUUCUGCGAGCAGGCCAGCAUCAGUUUGGGCGACCGGAUAAAGGCCUCUGUCAUGUAUCUUCCUUCGGGAUGACCUUAUAGGGGAGGCGUAAUGCGGCCAGCCCGGACUGAGGUCCGCGCAUCUGCUAGGAUGCUGGCGUAAUGGCUGUAAGCGGCCCGUCUUGAAACACGGACCAAGGAGUCUAACAUCUAUGCGAGUGUUUGGGUGUCAAGCCCGGGCGCGUAAUGAAAGUGAACGGAGGUGGGAACCCUCUUUGGGGGGUGCACCAUCGACCGAUCCUGAUGUCUUCGGAUGGAUUUGAGUAAGAGCAUAGCUGUUGGGACCCGAAAGAUGGUGAACUAUGCUUGAAUAGGGUGAAGCCAGAGGAAACUCUGGUGGAGGCUCGCAGCGGUUCUGACGUGCAAAUCGAUCGUCAAAUUUGGGCAUA